rnacentral:rRNA from 1 species
GGGGGCAUCCUAAUCAUGCAAGUCGAGCGAAUGACGAAGAAGCUUGCUUCUUCUGAUUUAGCGGCGGACGGGUGAGUAACACGUGGGCAACCUGCCCUGUAGAUUGGGAUAACUCCGGGAAACCGGGGCUAAUACCGAAUAAUCCAUUUCCUCACAUGGGGAAAUGUUAAAAGACGGUCUCGGCUGUCACUACAGGAUGGGCCCGCGGCGCAUUAGCUAGUUGGUGAGGUAACGGCUCACCAAGGCGACGAUGCGUAGCCGACCUGAGAGGGUGAUCGGCCACACUGGGACUGAGACACGGCCCAGACUCCUACGGGAGGCAGCAGUAGGGAAUCUUCCACAAUGGACGAAAGUCUGAUGGAGCAAUGCCGCGUGAGUGAAGAAGGUUUUCGGAUCGUAAAACUCUGUUGUGAGGGAAGAACAAGUACGAGAGUAACUGCUCGUACCUUGACGGUACCUCAUUAGAAAGCCACGGCUAACUACGUGCCAGCAGCCGCGGUAAUACGUAGGUGGCAAGCGUUGUCCGGAAUUAUUGGGCGUAAAGCGCGCGCAGGCGGUCCUUUAAGUCUGAUGUGAAAUCCCACGGCUCAACCGUGGAAGGUCAUUGGAAACUGGGGGACUUGAGUACAGAAGAGGAAAGCGGAAUUCCAAGUGUAGCGGUGAAAUGCGUAGAGAUUUGGAGGAACACCAGUGGCGAAGGCGGCUUUCUGGUCUGUAACUGACGCUGAGGCGCGAAAG